CGCGAAGAACCUUACCUGGUCUUGACAUGUACGGAAUCCUCCAGAGACGGAGGAGUGCCUUCGGGAGCCGUAACACAGGUGCUGCAUGGCUGUCGUCAGCUCGUGUCGUGAGAUGUUGGGUUAAGUCCCGCAACGAGCGCAACCCUUGUCAUUAGUUGCCAUCAUUAAGUUGGGCACUCUAAUGAGACUGCCGGUGACAAGCCGGAGGAAGGUGGGGAUGACGUCAAGUCCUCAUGGCCCUUAUGACCAGGGCUUCACACGUCAUACAAUGGUUGGUACAGAGGGUAGCCAAGCCGCGAGGUGGAGCCAAUCUCACAAAACCGAUCGUAGUCCGGAUUGCACUCUGCAACUCGAGUGCAUGAAGUCGGAAUCGCUAGUAAUCGCAGGUCAGCAUACUGCGGUGAAUACGUUCCCGGGUCUUGUACACACCGCCCGUC
rnacentral:rRNA from 1 species